rnacentral:rRNA from 1 species
GACAGAGGGUGCGAACGUUGUUCGGAAUUACUGGGCGUAAAGCGCAUGUAGGCGGCAGCGCAAGUCGGGCGUGAAAUCCCACGGCUCAACCGUGGAAGUGCACUCGAAACUGCGCAGCUAGAGUCCUGGAGAGGAAGGUGGAAUGCUUGGUGUAGAGGUGAAAUUCGUAGACAUCAAGCGGAACACCGGUGGCGAAGGCGGCCCUUCUGGACAGUGACGUGACGCUGAGAUGCGAAAGCG